rnacentral:misc_RNA from 1 species
AAAAAAAUUAAAUAACUUUAAAAAUAUAGGUAAAAUAAUAAAGUAAUUAUUAUUGUUAAUAAAAAAAUUUAUAAUUAAUUUUAAGUAUUUAGAUAUAAAUAAAUAUUUUAUAUUUUAUGUUAUUAAUAAAAAAUAUUUUAACAAAGUUGAAAUACAUUAAUUAAAAUAUUAAAAUUACAAAUAAAAAAAUAAAAAUAUUAAUAAUAUUAAUUUUCAAGUUAAAUAAAAAAGGAUAAUAUGGUCAAAAUAAAAAAUAAAAUAAAAUCAGCUAUGAGCUGAUGAGAAACAGUUCUAAAAAUAAAGCUGAUACAAACUGUAACUGAUGGGUACCAUAUUAAUUAUCUAUCAGCUAUUAAUUUUAUUUUUUUAAAUUUAUCAAACACUCUAGUUCACCUAUUUGAGUGUCUAUCAGCUAUCAACUGCAAUUAACAAAUUAACUGCAAUCAACAGGUGAACCAAACACCCCUUAGUAAAUAAGUAAGGAAGAAAUCUCAGCUAAGAGUAGGUGGAUAACAAGCAUUAUCUUGAAUAGAAACGUCCAACAACUCCAUUAACAUCACUAUUUGACAAUAAUGUAUUCCUUUUCUCGGCUGUCUUUACAGGAUAAUUAUGCAUUUGAUUAUUUCAAAUAUUGAUUGGGAAAUCUGAGUCUCAAUAAGAUUAAAAU